AAAAUACUCCCUCCGUCACAUAUUAACUGGCGAAAUAUUAGAUGUAUCUAAACGCUUUUUGAGUAUAGAUGCAUUCAUAUUUGCGCAAAUUUGAGUCACUUAGUAUGAGACGGAGGGAGUAGUUU
rnacentral:pre_miRNA from 1 species